GGAGUGAUGUGUGCUCAUCGUGUAGCUGCUGACAUUGGGCUUGAGAGAAAAUCGAAGGUACUUGAUGCUGGUCUUCUUGGUAUACUUGGUUGGCUAAGGACACUCGCAUAGUUCUGAGAGUUGUGUUCCUCAAGUCCAUGAGAGCAGGACAAAAGAGCUGCACAUAUAUAUAAGAAAAAUAUUUUUCCAUAUUCAAUAUUUUUUUGUCUUUCUCUUCAUACAUAGAUAAAAUCAAAAUUAAGGAAUCUAAUCCUAGAAUCAUGGGAAAGGAGUCUAAUUCCAACUUCCUAUGUUAAGAAAAACAUACUAGUUUAAGAACCUUAAGUCUUA